rnacentral:rRNA from 1 species
UUUGACGAUUGACUCAUGUUGCCUCGGCGGGCUCUCCCGCCAGAGGAUACAUCAAAACUCCUGUUUUAACGGUGUUGUCUGAGCUAUAAGCAACGAAUCAAAACUUUCAACAACGGAUCUCUUGGUUCUGGCAUCGAUGAAGAACGCAGCGAAAUGCGAUAAGUAGUGUGAAUUGCAGAAUUCAGUGAAUCAUCGAAUCUUUGAACGCACAUUGCGCCCCUUGGUAUCCCGAGGGGCAUGCCUGUUCGAGCGUCAUUUCACCACUCAAGCCUGGCUUGGUGUUGGGCGACGUCCCCUUUAGGGACGCGCCUCGAAACGCUCGGCGGCGUGGCACCGGCUUUAAGCGUAGCAGAAUCUUUCGCUUUGGAAGUCGGGGCCCCGUCUGCCGGAAGACCUACUCGCAAGGUUGACCUCGGAUCAGGCAGGGAUACCCGCUGAACUUAAGCAUAUCA